AGCUGCAGCUCCCAGCCUACAACACAGCCACAGCAACGCCAGAUUGGAGCCUUUUCUGCGCCCUUCACCACAGCUCAUGGCAACGCUGGAUCCUUAUCCUACUGCAUGAGGCCAGGGAUCAAACCCACGUCCUCAUGGAUACUAGUCAGGUUCAUUACUGCUAUACCACAAUGGGAACUCCUAACUAUAUCUUUUCAUACUUAAAAAAUACGGCUUACAUAAAUUAUAUAAGAAUUAUUUAAUUGUACACUUGAAGUGGUAUCUUAUGUUAAUAUAUUGCUUUUGUUCUCAAAUUAUUGCCUGUUCACAUUUUUUUCAAUUUCUUCAACUGUAUAGUCCAAGGAAAGAUCCCCUCUUUGCUUCUUUAGUAUCUCUGCACCCAUCCUAGUAGGAAAGCAAAAGAAAAACACUAGAAGUUCCACUUAAAUUGGCUGCUUUUGUUUUGGGGGGGGGGUCAAUUCCCUAUAAAUUUUACCCAGAGAAUGAAACAGGAUGACAAUGUCAAUUCUCAACUCCACCCGUGAAAACUCCUCCAUUCUUCCAAGCCGCCUCUUCCCACAGGUUGAUGACUUUCCCCAAAUCCGCAUCUGCUUCCACGUCUCCAGGGUCCUCUGUACAUGAACAUUCACCUGCCGGCUAGACCUCUCCAGAUGUCCCCUAGGGUGUGGAAAGCUCAGCUCAUCAUCUUUCUCCCCAGUGUGGUUGGUCCGGGCACUGAGAGGUGGUCCCAGCACGUAUGCAGCUCAAGUUCAAACCUGUGUCAUCGCAAACUCCUUCCCUCUCCCUUUCUGACCUGAAUCCAUCUCUACGUCCUGUCCACGCUGCUUCUCUUUCUCCUGGUAACUCCUUGUUCUAGCCCCCACAUUGCCUGUCGAGUUCAGAUCCCAAUCAUUUCUCACUUGAGCUACUGCCAUGUCUCCCAGCGGGUCUCGCUGAUUCUGCCCUUGGCUGGCAGGACGUACAUCCACUCUCCAGCAUCCUCUACCUAAACCGAGAGGCGUUCACUUAACUGCGCCUCUUAAACCUUCCAAAGACUCCUCCUCACUCACCCUAAACUCGCACGUGUCAUACUGGCCCUUUAAGAAUCUGGCGCCAGCUUGCCUCGCCCUCUAACCUCUACUGUCCCCUCUUCCUGGUAAGACCCUCUGACUUCUUUUUACCUUAGAAGGUCCUCAAAACUCAUGUCUUUCAGUGCUUUGCAUGGCCCUCGGUCUUGUUAUCAGCAACAUUAGACACCCCUUCGGUGAGCCUGUACAAGUGUCUGGCCCUAAUAGUCAGUCUGGGUGAUCCUGUGGGCAGGGCUUGUAUCUCACAUUUAUAUCUCUAGCUCAUAAUCCCAGACUUCUCACAUGGUAGCCUUCAAUAAAUACCGAAGAAUGGGCAGUUCCUGCUGUGGCUCAGUGGCUUAUGAACCUGAACUAGUAUGCAUGAGGAUGUGGGUUUGAUCCCUGGCCUCUCUCAGUGGGUUAAGGAUCCGAUGUUGCCAUGAGCUGUGGUGUAGGUCGCAGACACGGCUCAGAUCCCGCGUUGCCGUGGCUGUGGUGUAGGCCGGCAGCUGCAGCUCCAAUUUGACCCCUAGCCUGGGAACCUCCAUAUGCCGUGGGUAUGGCCCUAAAAAGAAAAAUAAUAAUAACAAAAUAAAAAUACUUAGGAAUGAAUGACCAUGUGGAGUUUUAUAUAGUUCUAAAGAUCUAUAUAAAAAGAUGAGAGUCAAAGAUCCCAGCUGCUUUGCAAUAAAACUCGUUCCCUAGGGCAAAUUUGUGUUUUUUCCAUUGUCCUCCAAUUCAGUUUUUAAACCGCUUCUCCCAUUCCUGAAGUAACUUCAAUUAUUUUGAGAAUAUCAAAACACCCUUGAAGGUGACAUUUCUAUCCUCUCUUCUCCUUGCUGCAAAAAUGAUUUGGAUCUUCAUCCUCAGAAAAACACAUCCCUCUGUGAUUCAGUUUACCCGAGGGAAGAAGCUCCUGAUGAUGGGAAGCAGCUCCCAGCCUCUCUCCUCCUGCAAUCCACCCUUCACUUUCACCUGGGAAAAGGUCCUGAGACCACUGACCCCUCCUCUGCACUCCCAGGGCCAGGUCUUCACCACGCCUCACUCUUACUAUUUUAACACGCUUCUAACUAGUCUCCCAUUCUUCAGUCUCUCCUUUUAAUAACCUACUCUUUCAGCUGUCUGAGCCGUACCCACCAACCUGAUCAGGUUCCUAUCAUCCUGCCCCAUCCUGCCUCUCUAACCUUACCUCCCUUGGUACACUCUAGAAUCACAACUAUCUGCCAAUCCCUGAUCCCUUCUUAGCAAGCUAUGGUUGGCCGCCUAUUGCCAGUGGUGCUCAUGUUUGUGCCCUGGACUCUAUCCCUUCGUCAGUUUGAAAAAUCCCUACUCAUCCUUUAAGAAGACCCAGUUCAGGAGUUCCCUUCGAGGUGCAGCGGAAAUGAAUCCACCUGGGAACCAUGAGGUUGUGGGUUCAAUCCCAGGCCUUGACCAGUGGGUUAUGGAUCCAGCAUUGCCGUGAGCUGUGGCUCGGAUCCCGCGUUGCUGUGGGUGUGGUGUAGGCCGGUGGCUACAGCUCUGAUUAGACCCCUAGCCUGGGAACCUCCAUAUGCCAUGGGUGCAGCCCCCCCCAAAAAAAAAACAAAAGACAAAAAACAAACAAAAAAAGAAGCCCCAGUUCAAAUAAGCUUCUUUUCUACAAAACCUUUCAACCAGUCCAAUUACAAAUCAUUCCAAUUUUCAGGGUCUCCACAGCAUUUAGCAUAUACACCUGGUAUGGAUAAAAAAAUAUUGGAUCUCUCUCUACUAUAAGAUGGAAACUCCUUUAAAAAAAAAAGCCUAUGAAUUACACAUCUUUGAAUAUUUGCUGCCUAAGAUAAAGCUUAAGACAAAGCAAGUGCUCAAAAAAGAAAAAAGUUAAAUUAAGCUGCCUUCAUCACAUAGCAAAUUUUUGUCAACCGGAGCAAUGUCAUUCAUCCCCACAUUUUUAGGUGCACCCAGCACAGCUCCGAGAUCAAGGUCAACUUGCAGAAUAAAAGAAUGGCCCACUUUUGGGUCGAACAUGCAGAAUAGGUAAAUGAGCUCACAUGAAAUGUUCGGAAAACAUAAAUAAAUAUUUCCAAAACGAUUCAAAUGCUUUCCUCAUGAAGUAUUUCUGGCAUACAAAGCCUAGAGGGUCCUAUUGACCAGGACAUAGUUGCAGUUCUACUGUGAGAUGAGAACUGAAAUUAAGAAGAUUUGCUUAGAAACUUUUACAGCAAGUUGACAAGGCUGACACAUCCAUAAAUACCAUCCAUGGGCUUGUCUGAAGGUGCUGGCUUAAGGCAUUGAGGUAUUGGCUGGGUCGUAUUGAAUGGACGUGGUACGUGGCACGAGCAGCAAGAGCUGCAGGCCAUUUACGGCUCAACAGGUCUGCAUAUCAGUUCGAGAUAGACUGUAAGUGAGAAGAAACAAGUCUUUCACUAGAGACAGUUUGAAAGACACCAGCAAAGAGAAUACUCUACUAACCUCCCAUGUACCACAACCAAUUUCUUCAUAUUCACCUUCCAUAUCUGCUUGAAAACUUUUCCCUAUGACAUAAAAUAUUACAGAUACAUUGAAGCCACCUCUAUGUCCUUCCUGAAUCCUUGUGUCCUCAUUUCCUCUACAGAAACAGCCUCCAAUAAGUUUUUUUUUUUUGGUCUUUUUGCCUUUUCUAGAGCUGCUUCCCACGACACACGGAGGUGCAGCCCUAAAAGAGACAAAAAGACAAAAAGAAAAAACAGAAAAACAGGGAUCAAGGUUAUUUUGAAGACUUCUGCCUAUUUAAUAUCAUCGUAUGUGAAACAUGCAUUGUGUCCCCUUAUGUGUGAUUCUUCAGCUACUGAAAGACUUGAACUCCAAGUCAAGGGAAUCGUCUCCUACCUCAAUCUUUAGAGAAAGACCUUAAAAAGCCCAUACCUUGCAAAGAAAGAUGAAAGCAUGUGUGGCAGGAGUGGAGCAAAAUGGUCCCACUGAUUUCCACUGAUAUAACGGGCUUUCUGAGAACUGGGCUGAUGCGACUUGACUAUAAAAGACGCCUAUUUCAAUGGAACAGGUCAACUUGGAGAAGACACAGGAAAGAGAAGAGACGCCUGACAUGACAGACAGAAAACACGGGCUUGCUACAGUUAAUCAAAUGGGCCCUGCCUGCAAAGCCAACAUGUCUCCUGAAAUCCAAACCUUUGAUUUUUGCAUGGCUGCCAGCUCAUUUCCAAAGCAUCCACUGCUAAUCAAACUUGUUUGGCUGCUUCCUUAUCGAAACUUUACAAAACUUUAAUUUCAGCCUCAUGAGCCCUGCAGCUGUAAAUUAAUUGAAUAAAAUUUACAAAUAUUAUGCAGUGAGAUAAUGCACUUUCAAAGUCUUUUCCCUAUUCAGUUGACGUAGCGCCCAGCACGCCAGUUUUGCUUGACGUGAGUUCAGAGCCCCCUGGAAACCUUCCUAAUCCUACUCUCUAGGCCUUGUGCCUAUUCGUGGAACCAUGUUAACCCAUAUCUGGAAAAUUAAUAAACCUCAGAUGGGUUGAAGCACUCAGAAAUAUCCCUGAUACUUCUUGCCAUUCAUUAUAUUUAGGUAUCCUUUGCAGUGGCAGAAUCCUUCUCCAAAGACCACCACAGCAGCAGAUAAAAUCCCUGAAGUUAUCAGCAUGCAACAAAAUAUCUCAUUUAAGAUUUCUGUCAUCUAAAGCCGAAGCCAGGAAUUAAACGUACUGAAGGUGAAAUCGCUUACGCUUUGGUUUAAUACAGAUAUUCCCCAAAACUGUUUGCUGAACUCAUCUACUUCACAACGACAGUGCAAAAAUUAUCAUGAUUUUUUAAAGCAGCAAAAGGAGUAAAACUGACUGUUCCGACGUAUGCCAACAGGCGAGCAGCUCAUCAGUGGUUGCUCGGUUCCACAUCACACUGACAGAGAGAAGACAAAAGACUAUUCAUUUCUCAAAAUAUACUCAGGUGCCAUCAUUCAUUUAUGAUUUCCAUGGUUACCAAGGAAGAAGUUGAAAUGUCCCUCUCUGGUUGAUUAUCGCAGCACAACUGUCACCCUUUCCGACCUGGGUGGGCUUUCGUUUCCAACAAUUUUAUCAGCAUCUGGAAGCCUUCUAGCCCAUCUGGAGCUGCACAGACAGACGCUUAUCUCAGAAGCUUCCCCCUUAAGCCAGAAGAUGUUGCUUUGAAGGAACUUCCCUGUCCCCCACACCUGUGGCAUGAGGAAGUCCCCAGGCCAGGGAUCGAACCUGUGCCAUAGCAGUGAGCCAAGCAGUUGCCGUGGCAAUGCCGGAUCUUUAACCCGCUCAGCCACAAGAGAACUCCUGAAAUAACUUCUGAUAUUGCCUGCUAAGGGAGUUUUAUAGAUUUCUUAAGCUCUCAGAAACAUGGUUCUGAAAGUAAAGUGAGGGUAAAAACAGUACUCAAGGAGGGUUGGUGUGAACGUAAAAUAAGACAAAGCAAGGCAACAGCCGGGCAUAAAACAGCUCUCUGUGAGAAAAUUGCAAAAUGUAAGCAUUGCCAUUUUUCCCUUCUUUAGAAAACAAACCAAAAAUAAAGCCAAUUUAUCUCACUGCUGACUGGUCUUUGAAAAUAGGGUCUUGAUAAACAACAAGUUCUUACUGGGUGACACAGGGAACUAUAUUCGCUAUCCUGUGAUAAAGCCUAAUGGAAAAGAAUAUAAAAAAAUAUACAUAUACAUGUAUAAUGAGGUCACUUUGUAGAACAAGUCACGCGUCGGAAAUCAACGCAACUUCAAUACAUUUUUUUUUUAAUGCAGCCUCAUACAGAACCAAGGAAGUUCACAAAUUCUUCUUAAAAUGAAUCCCAGAAAAGAAAAAUAUCAUGUGUUCCGGGGCAAUAAAAGUGGUACCUCUGCCUCUGCCCUUCCGAGCAAGAACUGGAUGGACUCUGCCUUGCAAUAACUACUCAUGACUUCCCUCAAGAAUU
rnacentral:lncRNA from 1 species